AAGUUUCUCAUAUAACUUUUCAAGUUUCUUCUCCUUAUUUAUUUUUUGAUAUGUAAAAUAAAAAAUCAGUUAAUGGACAUUAAGGGAAUAAAAACCAAGGGAAAGAAAGUUUAUUUACAUGAGAGAGAACAAGAGCAAAAUCUGCAGGAUGAAAUGAAUCAGCAUGAUAUUAUUUGCCAUUCCAAACAUUGAGAGUUCCAAGCAUCUAUAGGAGGUUCAAAAUUUUUAUCAUACAAAAGCCAGAAAAUUUGUUGGCAAAUUAGUUUAGUUCGUACUAUGUCUUAGAUAUGAUAUCUUAUGUGACUAAAAUCAAACUGAGCAGAUGUAUAAACAAGUGGGUGGUGGAGUCCACCUAGGCCUCUUGGGUAUCUGAAAAGAAAAAAAGGGAACUGACUACUGCUGUUGGUCUUUAUGAGUUUAUGUCCAUAAAGUCUUAAAACUUCAGGCAAGUAAUUUCCUAUAUACAUAUUCAAACUAGGAGAUUGCGUAGAACAAUUGAGAGACAUUUUAUCAGUACAGAAUAAUAGCAAAACUAUAUGCAUCUUAGCAUUUUUUUUUUUUG
rnacentral:misc_RNA from 1 species